rnacentral:rRNA from 1 species
GACGAACGCUGGCGGCGUGCUUAACACAUGCAAGUCGAGCGGUAAGGCCCUUUCGGGGGUACGACGAGCGGCGAACGGGUGAGUAACACGUGGGUGACCUGCCCUCCAGCUCUGGGAUAAGCCUGGGAAACCGGGUCUAAUACCGGAUAUGACUCCAUGACGCAUGUUGUGGGGUGGAAAGCCUUGUGCGGCUGAGGAUGGGCCCGCGGCCUAUCAGCUUGUUGGUGGGGUGAUGGCCUACCAAGGCGACGACGGGUAGCCGGCCUGAGAGGGCGACCGGCCACACUGGGACUGAGACACGGCCCAGACUCCUACGGGAGGCAGCAGUGGGGAA